CCUGGUUGAUCCUGCCAGUACCGUAUGCUUAUCUCAAAGAUUAAGCCAUGCACAUGUAAGUACACACGGCUGGUACAGUGAAACUGUGAAUGGCUCAUUAAAUCAGUUAUGGUUCCUUUGAUCGCUCCAUCUGUUACUUGGAUAACUGUGGUAAUUCUAAAGCUAAUACAUAGCGACGAGUGCUGACCUUCCAGGAUGCAUGCAUUUAUCAGACCAAGACUAAUCCGGGCUUGCCGGCCCCUUUGGUGGCGCUAGUUAACCUUGGGCCGAUUGCAGGUCCCCAUGACGGCGAAGAUGCAUUCGGAUGUGUGCCCUAUCAACUUUCGAUGGUAAUGGGGAAACAGUGCUAGAUUCUGGAGAGGGAGCCUGAGAAAUGGCUACCACACCCAAGGAAGGCAGCAGGCGCGCAAAUUACCCACUCCCGACUCCGAGAGCUAGUGACGAAAAAUAACAAUAUAGGACUCUUUUGAAGCACUGUAAUUGAAAUUAGUACACUUUAAAUCCUUUAACGAGUACCCAUUGGAGGGCAAGUCUGAUGCCAGCAGCCAUGGUGAUUCUAGCUCCAAUAGCGUAUAUUAAAGUUGCUGCAGUUAAAAAGCUUGUAGUUGGAUAUUGGGAUCGAGCUGGCAGUCCGCCAUGAGGUGAGCUACUGCUUGUCCCAGCCCCUGCUCCUUGGCGCCCCCUUGAAGCUCUUGCCUGAGUGUCCUGGAGGUCCGAAGCGUUUACUUAGAAAAAAUGUGAGUGUCAAAGCAGGCCGGUCGCCAGAAUACUUCAGCUAGGAAUAAUGGAAUAGGACUCCGGUUCUAUUUGUUGGUUUUCGGAACUGGGCCAUGUAAAGACGGGGGCACUCGUAUUGUGCCGCUACAGGUGAAAUUCUUGGACCGCGCAGACGAACCAAAGCAAAAGCAUUAGCCAAGAAUGUUUUCAUUAAUCAGGAACGAAAGUCUGAGGUUUGAAGAUGAUCUGAUACUGUUGUAGCUCCGACCACAAACUAUGCAGACUAGCGAUCUGGUGGCGUUUUUCCCAUGACCCGCUGAGCAGCUUCUGCAAAACCAAAGUCUUUGGUUCCGGAGAGUAUGGUUGCAAAGCUGAAACUUAAAGGAAUUGACAGAAGGGCACCACCAUGAAACCUCACUCGGCCCGGACAUGCAAAGGAAUGACAGAUUCAUAGUUCUUUCUGGAUUCUGUGGGUGGUGGUGUAUGGCCGUUCUUAGUUGGCGGAGCGAUUUGACUGGUUAAUUGCGAUAACGAACAAGACUCCUCCAUGCUAACUAGUUAUGUGACGCCCCACCUCCCCAGCGGUCAGCGCUCAACUUCUUAGAGGCACUAGUUGCGUUUAGUCACACGAGAUUGAUCAAUAACGGGUCUGUGAUGCCCUUAGAUGUCCGGGGCUGCACGCGCGCUACACUGAACCGAUCAUCAUUUGUCUAAUCUUCUUAGACAGGUGCAGCUAACCCCCUGAACCGUGUUCGUGAUAGGGAUUGGGAAUUGCAAUUAUUUCCCAUGAACAAGGAAAUUCCAGUAAGUGCGGGUCAUAAACUUGCGUUGAUUAAGUCCCUGCCCUUUGUACACACUGCUCGUCGCUACUACCGAUUGGAUGGUUUUGUGAGGUACUCCGAUAGGCCCCCGCCGGGGUCGGCAACGGCUCUGGUGGAGCGGUGAGAAGACUAUCAAACUUGACUAUCUAGAGAAAGUGAAAGUUGUACAGGUUGGGUUAGCCUGCCAGGGACG
rnacentral:rRNA from 1 species